GAGCAGGGGUGGAAGAGGAGGAGCAAGAGGAGUGGGGUGUGAAGCAUCAGUGGACACACCAGACUCUCCUUUAUCAGUCAUACAAAGAGAAUGUUCUAAUACCUCCCAUCGAAAAGAGAGCUGGCCCAAGCAAGCACAGGUUAAACCUGAAGCAUGAGGACUUGCAGCGAGUGGUAAACUUCAACAACUACGCAGAGGAUAAUGCAAUAGUAUUACCAGGAUGCCACCCAGGACACAAACACUUUGGUGGAAAGCUGCUGCCAUCCCAUGUGACAAAAGCAGCAGUAUGGUGUCUCUACAAGGAAUCAAUGACAACACUUGG
rnacentral:lncRNA from 1 species